UUAAUUGAAACCAAAAAGAGGUAAAUCACUGUUAAUGAUUAAAAUGAAUUUUAUUCCAAUUGAA
rnacentral:tRNA from 1 species